ACGUUAUUUGGAAAAGUUCUCAGUGACUACGACUUGAGUGUCCUUCGUGUCUGUUACCCUCAGAUUCUGCCUCCUGAAAUUUACAACAUUUUAUGGGAUAAAAUUCUUCGUGCCUGUUACCAUACACUACUUGACGGAUUUUCCGCUGUAAGAAAAUGCACGAACGAAGGUCGUGCACUAAUGCAGUUAGACUUCAGGCAUUUUCAAGUCAAAGUGGAAAGCUUGACACGUCUAAGACCUCUUCCUGACCCACAUAUUGUCGAAACAUACAUAAAGGCAUAUUAUUUACCUGAAAAUUCUUUGGAAAAAUGGAUUCAAGAACAAACGGAAUAUACUCCUAGGCAGAUGAUGAAUCUUCUUCAAUGCGUAAGUCAAGGCAGUAAAAAGAUUCGGCUGAACUUAACUUCCUUCAUGGAAGAUUUAGAUUUGAAUCGUCGAUAAAGCUCUUUGUUAUGAUUCAAGUGAUGAAAUUUUUGUAAAUUGAGAAAUAUACAUGACAUUCCAUUA
rnacentral:misc_RNA from 1 species